rnacentral:rRNA from 1 species
CAGUCGCCGCGGGAAUACGAAGGGUGCAAGCGUUACUCGGAAUUACUGGGCGUAAAGCGCGCGUAGGCGGUUUGUUAAGUUGGAUGUGAAAUCCCCGGGCUCAACCUGGGAACUGCAUCCAAAACUGGCAAGCUAGAGUAUGGUAGAGGGUGGUGGAAUUUCCUGUGUAGCGGUGAAAUGCGUAGAUAUAGGAAGGAACACCAGUGGCGAAGGCGACCACCUGGACUGAUACUGACACUGAGGUGCGAAAGCGUGGGGAGCAAACAGGAUUAGAUACCCCGGUAGUCCCUGUCUCUUAUAC